UGUGCGAUCAUACCAGCACUAAUGCACUGGAUCC
rnacentral:rRNA from 1 species